rnacentral:tRNA from 1 species
GGGGGUAAAUCUCAGUGGUAGAGCAUUCGACUGCAGGUCGAGUGGUCCCCGGUUCAAAUCCGGGAGUCUUCU